GCCAAAAAGCUAGCCUGAACACAAUUAUAAUUAAAAAAUAUAAAUAAACAUACCACAACCACAUAUUAAAACAUUUUACCACCCAAGUAUAGGUGAUAGAAAAGGUUUCCAGAGCAAUAGAAAAAGUACCGCAAGGGAAAGCUGAAAAAGAAAUGAAAUAAUCCAACAAAGCGGAAAAAAGCAGAGACUAAAACUCGUACCUUUUGCAUCAUGAUCUAGCAAGAAAGCCCAAGCAAAGAGAACUUAAGUUUGACCCCCCGAAACCAGGGGAGCUACUCCGAAGCAGCCCAAAGGGGCAAACCCGUCUCUGUGGCAAAAGAGUGGAGAGACUUCCGAGUAGAGGUGAUAAGCCUACCGAACCUGGUGAUAGCUGGUUGCUUAGAAACUGAAUAUAAGUUCAGCGCUAUAAUAUUCUAACCUUAUUCACAAAAAGAACGAGCAAGAUAUAGCAGUUAAUCAAAAGGGGUACAGCCCUUUUGAUAAAGGAUACAACCUUACUAAGGAGGAAAAGGACAAUUAUCGCAAGGUACUUCCCCCAGUGGGCCUAAAAGCAGCCACCUGAAAAGACAGCGUUAAAGCUCAAGCAAAGCCAAACCAACAAUAAAAUUAAACCAAGCCUAAUCCCCUAUAGAUACUGAGCCCCCCUAUAAUGAUAUAGAGAAGAUAAUGCUAGAAUAAGUAAUAAGAGGGAUACACCCCUCUCCUAACACAAUUGUGAGUCAGAUAGGAUUAACCACUGACAAUUAUCGGACCCAAAGUGAGGGAACAACAAAGAAUAAGCCAAUGAACGAGGAAACCCUGUAACAAACACCGUCAACCCGACACAGGAGUGUACCCAGGAAAGACUAAAAGGAAGAGAAGGAACUCGGCAAAAAUAGAACCCCGCCUGUUUACCAAAAACAUCGCCUCUUGCUAACAAUGAAGUAUUAGAGGUCCCGCCUGCCCUGUGACAGCAGUGUUUAACGGCCGCGGUAUUUUAACCGCGCGAAGGUAGCGUAAUCACUUGUCUUUUAAAUGGAGACCUGUAUGAAUGGCAUAACGAGGGUUUAACUGUCUCCUCCUCCCAGUCAAUGAAAUUGAUCUAUCCGUGCAGAAGCGGAUAUGCUAACAUAAGACGAGAAGACCCUAUGGAGCUUUAGGCGGAUGACCAAGUCAAAAAAAUCCUGAUCUAGACCAGAUCCAGAAGAAGAAAACACCAGUGGUCAAUACGCCUUCGGUUGGGGCGACCAUGGAGGAAAGAAAAGCCUCCAUGUGGAACGGGAAAACCCCUUAACUAAGAAAAACUCCUCUAAGUAUCAAAAAUUUUGACCAAAAGUGACCCAGGCCAAGCCUGAUCAACGGACCAAGUUACCCUAGGGAUAACAGCGCAAUCCUCUCCCAGAGUCCAUAUCGACGAGGGGGUUUACGACCUCGAUGUUGGAUCAGGGCAUCCUAUUGGUGCAGCCGCUAUUAAGGGUUCGUUUGUUCAACGAUUAAUAGUCCUACGUGAUCUGAGUUCAGACCGGAGUAAUCCAGGUCGGUUUCUAUCUAUGAACUGCCUGCCCCUAGUACGAAAGGACCGGAGCAGGGGGGCCUACGAAAAUAUAAGCCUCAACCCAACCCGCUGAAAACAUAUAAAGCGCAUAAUGGGAAAGACUCAUCCGCCAAAGAUAAUGGCAU
rnacentral:rRNA from 1 species